GAAAUGCGAUAAGUAAUGUGAAUUACAGAAUUCAGUGAAUCAUCGAAUCUUUGAACGCACAUUGCGCCCGCCAGUAUUCUGGCGGGCAUGCCUGUUCGAGCGUCAUUUCAACCCUCAAGCCCUGCUUGGUGUUGGGGAUCGGCGUUGCCUCCUCCGUCGUUCGCGGCGGGGUGAGGUCGCCGCCCCCGAAAUGAAUUGGCGGUCUCGUCGCAGCUUUCCUUUGCGUAGUAACAUACCACCUCGCAACCAGGAGCGCGGCGCGGCCACUGCCGUAAAACGCCCAACUUUUUCAAGAGUUGACCUCGAAUCAGGUAGGAAUACCCGCUGAACUUAAGC
rnacentral:misc_RNA from 1 species